rnacentral:rRNA from 1 species
UACAGAGGUCUCAAGCGUUGUUCGGAUUCAUUGGGCGUAAAGGGUGCGUAGGUGGCGCGCUAAGUCAGGUGUGAAAUUUCGGAGCUUAACUCCGAAACUGCAUUUGAUACUGGCGUGCUUGAGGACUGGAGAGGAGACUGGAAUUCACGGUGUAGCAGUGAAAUGCGUAGAUAUCGUGAGGAAGACCAGUGGCGAAGGCGGGUCUCUGGACAGUUACUGACGCUGAGG